rnacentral:miRNA from 1 species
UAGACGGUUUGAAACAUGGA